UGCAAGUUGAGCGAUGAAGAUUGGUGCUUGCACCAAUUUGAAGAGCAGCGAACGGGUGAGUAACGCGUGGGGAAUCUGCCUUUGAGCGGGGGACAACAUUUGGAAACGAAUGCUAAUACCGCAUAAUAACUUUAAACAUAAGUUUUAAGUUUGAAAGAUGCAAUUGCAUCACUCAAAGAUGAUCCCGCGUUGUAUUAGCUAGUUGGUGAGGUAAAGGCUCACCAAGGCGAUGAUACAUAGCCGACCUGAGAGGGUGAUCGGCCACAUUGGGACUGAGACACGGCCCAAACUCCUACGGGAGGCAGCAGUAGGGAAUCUUCGGCAAUGGACGAAAGUCUGACCGAGCAACGCCGCGUGAGUGAAGAAGGUUUUCGGAUCGUAAAACUCUGUUGGUAGAGAAGAACGUUGGUGAGAGUGGAAAGCUCAUCAAGUGACGGUAACUACCCAGAAAGGGACGGCUAACUACGUGCCAGCAGCCGCGGUAAUACGUAGGUCCCGAGCGUUGUCCGGAUUUAUUGGGCGUAAAGCGAGCGCAGGUGGUUUAUUAAGUCUGGUGUAAAAGGCAGUGGCUCAACCAUUGUAUGCAUUGGAAACUGGUAGACUUGAGUGCAGGAGAGGAGAGUGGAAUUCCAUGUGUAGCGGUGAAAUGCGUAGAUAUAUGGAGGAACACCGGUGGCGAAAGCGGCUCUCUGGCCUGUAACUGACACUGAGGCUCGAAAGCGUGGGG
rnacentral:rRNA from 2 species